rnacentral:lncRNA from 1 species
CUGUUUUAUAUACUAUUAUCUACUCUUUUCUUCAGCAUAAAAUAUAAUUCUGUAAGUUACAGAUGGUCACCAAAUUGACAAUGUAUUUACUGAAGCAUGAAUUUCCAACCCAGUGAAACUCCUCUUCCCCCCGUGCUCAAGAGACUCUGGAAUAACACAAAGCGACAAUAUGCAUGGCCUCUUCUAACUUUAUCUUUGGACUUUCAUGGCCCAUCACAUGCAGAGCAGAUUUGGUUUUCAUGGAAGAUAGUCAUGUAAAGAGAUAAGCCUUCUCCAGUCUACAAAAUGGAUAGAAGCACUGCUAGAAACAAAAGUGAUUCAUCAAAUGGCACAGCUGUUCACUGUAUGUUCAUAAUGAGCUUUUUUAUUUGGGUGCUGUUUGGUAUUUAUAGCUAAUUAACUCCCUUUUACACCACCCAACAAUCUGCAUUUAGAGCACAGAGAAAAUGGAAAUAGAUUGAAUUAAAGCUGUUAAAUACAGAGCAAAUUCAGU